UACCAGCACCCCGAGUGGUCGGGACGUUUAUUGGGCCUAAAGCAUCCGUAGCCGGUUCUACAAGUCUUCCGUUAAAUCCAGCUGCUUAACAGAUGGGCUGCGGAAGAUACUAUGGAGCUAGGAGCGGGAGAGGCAAGCGGUACUCGAUGGGUAGGGGUAAAAUCCGUUGAUCCAUUGAAGACCACCAGUGGCGAAGGCGGCUUGCCAGAACGCGCUCGACGGUGAGGGAUGAAAGCUGGGG
rnacentral:rRNA from 1 species